ACUUCUAACCAUCACAAAGUAACUGGUUGUAAGUUGAGGACUACCUGUUGUCAAGAUCAUCUAAACAGGAAAAGAGAUGCCCAUAAAGUAAUUAGGUUUAGCAUCUACUAUUACUAACCUGCAUGCUCACAAAACUGAUCAAUAUUCAACAAAAGCUAUAAUAAUAUUCAGAGGAUAGUGAAUUAAAAUUUUAAUAAAAAUUACGUAGAACUUUAGAACAGCAAAUUUGUUUCUGCUCAAGUAUCAGAACAGAGAGCUUGCAUUUUGGCUAUAGUAAGUAUCAGCAUCUUCUCUACUUUAUUAAUCUGCUGUCUAAAUCUUCUGCAAAACAAUAACCCACUCAAAAUGCUAAUAACAUUUUCAUUCUGCUUGCCUUUUCCCCUUUGCUUGAAUGAUCCUAAAGGUUCUGGACCCAUGACAAAUACUCCCCCAAAAAACAAUUAAAACAGGCAAUCAGGUUGAAAUAUAAUCACAACACAUAGCACCGUCACAUUAACAUAAUAACUUAGCUGCUGCCAUCAGAAAAGCCAGCUCAAACGCAACCCUUUUAUU